AAUUGCCGCAAUUUCCAAUUAUCGUGAGAAUUGUCGUUGUUUCUAGAACCGCGUCAGGUAUCGUGACUUAUUUUUUUUAUUUAAGCAGUCAACCUGAUAAAAUCUGUUAACACGCAUAGACCUGUCUCACUAUCCGCCAAAGCCUUUAAGUCCAAAUAAAAGAACAAAAGCAUCACCACAUAACCAUUUCAGCAGCAACCAAAAAAUGCUAGCAAACUCCCACAACAUCACAACGGCAACACCUGCUAACAGCCCUCAAAGUACAACAGAUGAUUUACUCAAUUGUUAUAAUUAACUACCUCACAACCAAGAAAAAUCAAAUCAAAAAGAAAAAUCAAGUCAUUAUACCUGACGUUGUACUGGAAAUAACGGCAAUUCUCACGAUAUUUGAAAUCAUGACGAUUCUAGCGAAAAUUGAAAAAUGUGGCAAUUGGAAACGACAAAAUUGAACAAUCAAA
rnacentral:lncRNA from 1 species